rnacentral:lncRNA from 10 species
CUAUUUGUCAUUUAUUAUACCAGUACUAUGGACUAAUGUAGCUUUAUAAUAGUUCUUAAAGAGUACUCAUCUCUCCAUUUACCAGGAAUGUUGGCUGCUGAAGGCUUACAGGUGGUGUUUCAGGGGCACUCCCCAGCACACCUCCUCCUGCCUGCAAAUCUCUGCCUCAGACUCUGUUUCCUGGGUAACCUGACCUAAGAGAAUUGAUCAUACACAGAACCCUUCUAUAGCUGACUCACUUGAAGAACUGUGAAAGAUGAGGGGGCGAGGAAAAAAAAACAAACAUCAUGGUAAGUUUCAGUUGAAGACAAUUAUUUAGAUUGUUUCUCUCAGUAUGAUUGGCUCAAUAGAACACACUUGUGGAACCCUGUUGAAAGUCAAAUGAUACCACUGUGAGCCACUUUUUAGCAAGAGACUCCAUCAACUCUAAGAUCCAUGUAUGGGUCCAAUUUACUGACGGUCUGAAGUGAUAGAGAUAAAAUAAUGGAACAUGAUUCAAAAAUGGAAAAAUGAGAAAAUACUCUCGUAAGCCAUAAAGUACAUAGAGACAUAGAUGCUGAGUUUUCAUAAGGAGCCACAGUUAUUGACUGGCGUUCAAAGUAAAUAGACAAAAUCUUCCUUUAGAAGCAACAACUGAUUUAUGCUAGAAAAAUAUUUCAAACUAUUUCCUUAGAUCAGGCACAUUUUUUAAAAAUUACAUGAACAUUCUCAAUCAUUCUAAAAUGCUGGGGAUUAAAGAUGUUUGGGUUGAUGCUUUUUCUUAUCCUAUUUCUACUAUUUGAAAAAAAUUCAGUCAAUCAUAAUAAUCUCUUGCAUUAUAUAGAUCCCUAGAGUUUAGAGUACACUAUUGUGUACAGUAUCUCAUUUGUAUUUUUGUUAUUAUUCAUGCAAUACAUGGCUAUUGUAGAAUUAUUGAAAAAUACAGAGAAGCAAGAAGUGCAUAACAGAUUACAGGUAAACCCAGUACCAAGAUAAAUAUUGCGGUAGACAUAUUUUAUUUUGCCUUUCUAGUAUCCCUUUCUCCCAAAGAGUGCAUUCUUUUCCAAUAAAACCUCUAACUUCCUUCCUUCUGUACCCCCAAUUCAGUCCAUAUGUGAAUAUGAUUAACCCUACUAUUUAGUCAAAAAAGGGGGAUUUUGUCUCAGGCAUAACUAAUCAAAUGUCAAAAUGAUUGGCUCAGGGAAUAAUAUAUGAGAGAGGACAGACCAAUGGAUACUGGGACAUUCGAGGCAGAAACUGAGAAAAAUGUAUAGCCAUGUAUAGCCAUCUUGAC